GAUGAACGCUGGCGGCGUGCCUAAUACAUGCAAGUCGAGCGAAUGGAUUAAGAGCUUGCUCUUAUGAAGUUAGCGGCGGACGGGUGAGUAACACGUGGGUAACCUGCCCAUAAGACUGGGAUAACUCCGGGAAACCGGGGCUAAUACCGGAUAACAUUUUGAACCGCAUGGUUCGAAAUUGAAAGGCGGCUUCGGCUGUCACUUAUGGAUGGACCCGCGUCGCAUUAGCUAGUUGGUGAGGUAACGGCUCACCAAGGCAACGAUGCGUAGCCGGCCUGAGGGGGUGAACGGCCACACUGGGACUGAGACACGGCCCAGACUCCUACGGGAGGCAGCAGUAGGGAAUAUUCCGCAAUGGACGAAAGUCUGACGGAGCAACGCCGCGUGAGUGAUGAAGGCUUUCGGGUCGUAAAACUCUGUUGUUAGGGAAGAACAAGUGCUAGUUGAAUAAGCUGGCACCUUGACGGUACCUAACCAGAAAGCCACGGCUAACUACGUGCCAGCCGCCGCAGUAA
rnacentral:rRNA from 1 species